rnacentral:rRNA from 1 species
AGAGUUUGAUCCUGGCUCAGGACGAACGCUGGCGGCGUGCUUAACACAUGCAAGUCGAACGGAAAGGCCCGCAUCAUUUUUGUGGUGGGGGUGCUCGAGUGGCGAACGGGUGAGUAACACGUGGGUGAUCUGCCCUGCACUUCGGGAUAAGCUUGGGAAACUGGGUCUAAUACCGGAUAGGACCAUGGUUUAGUGUCUCAUGGUGGAAAAAUAUUGUUUUGGUGCAGGAUGAGCUCGCGGCCUAUCAGCUUGUUGGUGGGGUAAUGGCCUACCAAGGCGUCGACGGGUAGCCGGCCUGAGAGGGUGGACGGCCACAUUGGGACUGAGAUACGGCCCAGACUCCUACGGGAGGCAGCAGUGGGGAAUAUUGCACAAUGGGCGCAAGCCUGAUGCAGCGACGCCGCGUGGGGGAUGACGGCCUUCGGGUUGUAAACUCCUUUCGUUAGGGACGAAGCCGCACCUUGUUUUUGGGUGUGGUGACGGUACCUUUGUUAAGAAGCACCGGCUAACUACGUGCCAGCAGCCGCGGUAAUACGUAGGGUGCGAGCGUUGUCCGGAAUUACUGGGCGUAAAGAGCUCGUAGGUGGUUUGUUGCGUCGUCUGUGAAAUUCCGGGGCUUAACUUCGGGGUGGCAGGCGAUACGGGCAUAACUAGAGUGCUGUAGGGGAGACUGGAAUUCCUGGUGUAGCGGUGGAAUGCGCAGAUAUCAGGAGGAACACCGAUGGCGAAGGCAGGUCUCUGGGCAGUAACUGACGCUGAGGAGCGAAAGCAUGGGGAGCGAACAGGAUUAGAUACCCUGGUAGUCCAUGCUGUAAACGGUGGGCGUUAGGUGUGGGGACCGGUUUGGUUUCUGUGCCGUAGCUAACGCAUUAAGCGCCCCGCCUGGGGAGUACGGCCGCAAGGCUAAAACUCAAAGGAAUUGACGGGGGC